GCAGCCGUGGUGUAGUCUGGUCUAACAUGCCUCCCUGUCACGGAGGAGAUCGCCGGUUCAAAUCCGGUCGGCUGCG
rnacentral:tRNA from 1 species